ACACCCAGCUCCCCUGGCUCUAGCAGCACAGAAAUAUUGGCACUGGGGAAACAAGUCUGCCAAUAUUGGCUGUGCUGCUCCAGGCAGGGUGGUGA
ensembl:miRNA